CACAUAGAAUGUGUGUGUGUGUGUGCGUGGGGAACGACCAGAGCAGGAAGAAAAAGGGUAAAACCCUAAACUCCACAAAAUCUUCCAAUUGAAGGUGCAAUUGAAGACCAAACUUGGAUUUGAAUACAUAUAAACGAUCACCGAGCUAAGGGGAUCGUAAGUUUGACUCUGACAAGCUAGAUGGGAGCUUGGAAAUGAACGGGUCAAAUGGAUACAAGUUCAAGUAUGAAGCUCGCAAGGAUGCAAGGUAAGUAAAGCUUACACCAUUUUUUUAUGGAUACGUAUUUGCUUUAUAGAUUACAAGUUCAAGUAUGAAGCUUCCGCAUUUGAGUUUAAACCUUGUUAUCAAAAGUGAACUAUGUAAACAAUUGUUACUAUCUUUUGAAUGUUUUAAUCAUGUAUGAAUGAUAACUUAUAAAAGUUUUUGAAA